GAUGAACGCUGGCGGCGUGCCUAAUACAUGCAAGUCGAGCGAGAAUUUUUCAAAUGACACUUCGGUUGAUUGUGGAAAAGGACAGCGGCGGACGGGUGAGUAACGCGUAGGCAACCUGCCCCUGACAGAGGGAUAGCCAUUGGAAACGAUGAUUAAAACCUCAUAACGCCGAAGGAACACAUGUUUCAUCGGCCAAAGAUUUAUCGGUCAGGGAUGGGCCUGCGUCUGAUUAACUAGUUGGUGAGGUAACGGCUCACCAAGGUGACGAUCAGUAGCCGACCUGAGAGGGUGAUCGGCCACAUUGGGAAUGAGACACGGUCCAAACUUCUACGGAAGGCAGCAGUAGGGAAUCUUGCACAAUGGGCGAAAGCCUGAUGCAGCAACGCCGCGUGAAGGAUGAAGGCCUUCGGGUUGUAAACUUCUGUUCUUAGGGAAGAAGAAAGUGACGGUACCUAAGGAGAAAGCCCCGGCCAACUACGUGCCAGCAGCCGCGGUAA
rnacentral:rRNA from 1 species